rnacentral:sRNA from 2 species
AUUCACGGUUUGCCUUAGACACAGUGUUCCCUGAGGUAAGCCUGGAGCGGAGGAACCAACCUUGGGGCUAAUCUUUUAAAAGGAUAAGGAAUCAAGUAUCGAGGAUAAAUGAGAACUUGCCUUUCACACUUCAUCCGACCUACUGAAUCCUUACGAAAGAGGGACAUCUCUCAGUCCUAGCCCGUCAGCUAACUUCGUCGGCAUUGAGAAGAGACUGA